CUGAAUUAAUAUACAUUUUUCUUGGCUAAAAGGCUUAUUUGUCUUGUUUGUCUUGUUGAAAAGAUAAAUGCAAAAUCUCGUUUAGAUUUGUGUUUACAAUUAGCUAUUUUCACACAUCAAGGCUUUAUCUCUGGCCAGUGCUGGUUCAUUAAUAUGGAGAAAAAAAUUUCAUGCUUUCAUCUGCAGGCUUGGCUCUUUCCCCACUGAAAUAACUAAAUGUGUUGCCACUGGUAUCAGUGCAAGAAGUGUCUGGCCCUGCAUUACUAUUGUUUUUCUCCUGAAUAAGUUGCAGGCUUUCCAAGAGAAGAGGUUAGACAAUUGGUUGAUCUCCAUUAAACACAAUGGUGUUUGGUCUUGCUAACAAAAUGAAGAUUACUUAAGCAUGCUACUCAGACUUCCACAUUAUUUAAAGCACUGAAGUGAAAACAAUGUUCUGGAUGUAAAAAGACCUGCUACUCCAUUCAAGCAUACCUCUCUCAACACCACAACAAAUGGCUGUUUUACUAUAGUAGACAAAGACUCCAUGCAAUAAUACCGUGCGAAUGCAGGAAACCUUAUAUUCAUGAGCAUUUGGCAUAAAAAAAAGCACUCUCUCUUCUGUCUAUAACUGCUUAAGUUCAGUUUUGACUAGCUCCCUACCACAAAGGUGAUAAUGAAAAGUAUAUGAGGAUGGAAGAAUCUGGCAGUUUCUUAUUUUAUAGCAUCAAUAUUAGGCUACAAGGACAGGCUUAGAAUUUUUGUUUAUAACUUCUUUAGAAAUGCAUUCUUUAUGGCAUUUGGGAGACUACUACCUGUGGGAAAAUUGGGUAGAGUAUAUGGAAGGAUGACCUUGUUGUACUCUAAUCAGAUUUUUUAUCCGUGGGUGGUGAAGCCUAAGAAGGUAAUGGCAAUUGGAUGACCUUACAUACUUCACCACUGUGCUGGAGAACCUUUCUCACUCUUUGCUGGGAAUGGCUAAAUUUUGGAAGAGAGAUGGAGAGGGAACACAAAAUGAGGGAGACGAGCACCACAGCACCCAGCCUCCAUCUGCCUCCUGUGUCACCAAUCACAUCAGCACCCUUGAAUAAUUUUUUCCUGCUUUAACUGUGAAGAAAACGAAAUGGCUGCUCCAUCUCCUUGCUAUCCGUUGGCUAAAAUGAAUUUGAAAAUAAGAGUUGACAGACUGGACAAAUGUAUGGUGGUUGGAGAAGCAGAUUUUUCAAGGCAGAACUGAAGAUAGCCAGCAUUUCCUUAUCUCUGAUUUUCUGAAAGAUUUUGAGCAUCUGCCAACUCCUUUUUAAGCUGGUAUUUGUAAUUGCUUCAAGGUACUGCGUUUAAGUGCUCUAAGUGUUUUUUGAAAUUGCUUCCAAGGAGUGAGUUUUCUGAAAUGUUACCGAAAAUAAAGUAAAUGACGCACAGCUGAAUUCCUUGCCUAUUUCUUCACUGCACAGUUCCAGUGACACAAGAAGCCACAGGCAUGCAUGGCUCACAGGUUCUGCACCCAAGCCACCACUCCCUCAGCAUGCUGCUGCUUCUCCCUUCUCCCUCCAUUCCAUCCAACAUCCCCAUCCCUCCUUCCUCUUUCCUCCACAAACUUAACUCUCAGUUGUCUGACCAAGUGGUUCUUACCUCACAGCCAGGGCCUGAACCUCGUAA